UUCUCUAGUGGCGCACGGGUGAGUAACACGUGAGUAACCUGCCCCCGAGAGCGGGAUAGCCCUGGGAAACUGGGAUUAAUACCGCAUAGUAUCGAAAGAUUAAAGCAGCAAUGCGCUUGGGGAUGGGCUCGCGGCCUAUUAGUUAGUUGGUGAGGUAACGGCUCACCAAGGCGAUGACGGGUAGCCGGUCUGAGAGGAUGUCCGGCCACACUGGAACUGAGACACGGUCCAGACUCCUACGGGAGGCAGCAUG
rnacentral:rRNA from 1 species